rnacentral:rRNA from 1 species
CAAUAGCGUAUAUUUAAGUUGUUGCAGUUAAAAAGCUCGUAGUUGGAUUUCGGGUGGGACGCAGCGGUCUCGCAUUGCGUUUGUACUGCUGCAGCCCUCCUUCUUGCCGGGGGCGGCCUCUCGGACUUCACUGUCUGGGGGUCAGAAUCGGCGAUGUUACUUUGAGUAAAUUAGAGUGUUCAAAGCAAGCUUACGCUCUGAAUAUAAUAGCAUGGGAUAACACGACAGGACUCUGGCCUAUCGUGUUGGUCUAUAGGACCAGAGUAAUGAUUAAGAGGGACAGUCGGGGGCAUUCGUAUUCCGUUGUCAGAGGUGAAAUUCCUGGAUUUACGGAAGACGAACAUCUGCGAAAGCAUUUGCCAAGGAUGUUUUCAUUGA